rnacentral:lncRNA from 1 species
UGAGUAUAGUUUUAUUGACGUUAAGCUUAUUCAUAGCUUGAUGGUCAUGAAUUUACAGCUACAGAAAUUAAGUGGCGACUCUACUGGGGAGUAGUCCUCAGUGGGUUUAGCCUACUUUUUUAUGUGUAUAUAUUUGUAUAUUUGAUGUUUGUAUAUUGUUUGUAUGAUAUAAUCUGUCUGUUAUGCUUGGUGAUCUUUG